rnacentral:tRNA from 1 species
AGAGGCUUAGGAUAACAUAAGACCAAAGGCCUUCAAAGCCUUAAGUGAGGGUGAAAAUCCCCCAGCCUCUG